UUUUAGGUGGGCAGUGUUGUUUACAUAGAAAUAACACAAUAUAACAUAGCAAAUCAAUGUUGAAUCACUUAUAGUGGCGGGCGGACGGGCCGAGCUCGUACUCCUGGUAGUCGUCGUCCGCCCUGACCGUGUGCAGGAUGCGGCCGAAGCGCUGGCGGCAGAGCGGGCAGGCGGCGCGCACGGCAGCCCACUGCCGGAUGCAGCCGAAGCAGAAGGGAGUUCAGAGGAUGCAUCUGCCUGGUGUUGUGCAGACCAUGAUGAGCAGGCUAUGCCAGUACUCAGGGCUGACUGAGGCUUCAAGACAGAGUUAAUUACUCUGGUGCUAAAGAAGAAUUCCCGCAUAAUUCAUGACUGAAUGUGAUCAGUAAAGAAGCUUUGCACUAAAGUGUUCACAAAACUUGGCUCAUUCUUCAUGGCUUCAUUGUCAGUGCUUCUGACAGAACACAGAAGCACUGUAUUUAGUUCUUUGGAAUAUUUUUAGGUUUAGGUAUGGUUUAAAUCCAUCUGGCACCUAAACCCCAU
rnacentral:lncRNA from 12 species